rnacentral:rRNA from 1 species
UACGUAGGGUGCAAGCGUUGUCCGGAAUUAUUGGGCGUAAAGAGCUCGUAGGCGGUCUGUCGCGUCGAAUGUGAAAACCCGGGGCUCAACCCCGGGCCUGCAUUCGAUACGGGCAGACUAGAGUUCGGUAGGGGAGUCUGGAAUUCCUGGUGUAGCGGUGAAAUGCGCAGAUAUCAGGAGGAACCCCGGUGGCGAAGGCGGGACUCUGGGCCGAUACUGACGCUGAGGAGCGAAAGCGUGGGGAGCGAACAGG